rnacentral:tRNA from 1 species
GGGUAAUUAGCUCAGUCGGUAGAGCAUCUGACUUUUAAUCAGAGGGUCACAGGUUCGAUUCCUGUAUUACCCACCA